UCCUGACCGUGCGAAGGUAGCGUAAUCAUUUGUCUUUUAAAUAGAGACCUGUAUGAAUGGCAUAACGAGGGUUUAACUGUCUCCUUCCCCUAGUCAAUGAAAUUGAUCUGCCCGUGCAGAAGCGGACAUAAAUACAUAAGACGAGAAGACCCUAUGGAGCUUUAGACAAAAGAUCAAACAUGUAAAGAAACCAAGUUAACCAAAAGGAACACAAAGGCCACGAAACCCGACGUAAACUGAUCCAAAUGUCUUCGGUUGGGGCGACCAUGGGGGAGAAAAAAGCCCCCACGAGGAACAGGGACUAAUCCCUAAGCCAAGAGAGACAUCUCUAAGCAACAGAAAAUCUGACCAAAAGUGACCCAGAAUACUAAUUCUGAUCAACGAACCAAGUUACCCUAGGGAUAACAGCGCAAUCCUUUCCCAGAGUCCAUAUCGACGAAAGGGUUUACGACCUCGAUGUUGGAUCAGGACAUCCUAAUGGUGCAGCCGCUA
rnacentral:rRNA from 1 species